GAUGAACGCUGGCGGCGUGCUUAACACAUGCAAGUCGAACGGAAAGGCUCCUGCUUGCAGGGGUACUCGAGUGGCGAACGGGUGAGUAACACGUGGGUGAUCUGCCCUGCACUUCGGGAUAAGCCUGGGAAACUGGGUCUAAUACCGGAUAGGACCACAUUUUGGAUGGUGUGGUGGAAAGUUUUUCGGUGUGGGAUGAGCUCGCGGCCUAUCAGCUUGUUGGUGGGGUAAUGGCCUACCAAGGCGUCGACGGGUAGCCGGCCUGAGAGGGUGUACGGCCACAUUGGGACUGAGAUACGGACCAGACUCGUACGGGAGGCAGCGGUGGGGAAUAUUGCACAAUGGGCGCAAGCCUGAUGCAGCGACGCCGCGUGGGGGAUGACGGCCUUCGGGCUGUAAACUCCUUUCGCUAGGGACGAAGCGCAAGUGACGGUACCUGGAGAAGAAGCACCGGCUAACUACGUG
rnacentral:rRNA from 1 species